rnacentral:tRNA from 1 species
GGAGAGGUGGCUGAGUGGUCGAAAGCACAGGUUUGCUAAACCUGCGUACAUGCAAGUGUACCGGGGGUUCGAAUCCCCCCCUCUCCGCCA